rnacentral:rRNA from 2 species
CUCUGGUAUUGAUUGGUACUUGUAUCAUGAUUUACAUUUGAGUGAGUGGCGAACUGGUGAGUAACACGUGGGAAACUUGCCCAGAAGCGGGGGAUAACACCUGGAAACAGAUGCUAAUACCGCAUAACAACUUGGACCGCAUGGUCCGAGCUUGAAAGAUGGUUUCGGCUAUCACUUCUGGAUAGUCCCGCGGCGCAUUAGCUAGAUGGUGAGGUAACGGCUCACCAUGGCAAUGAUGCGUAGCCGACCUGAGAGGGUAAUCGGCCACAUUGGGACUGAGACACGGCCCAAACUCCUACGGGAGGCAGCAGUAGGGAAUCUUCCACAAUGGACGAAAGUCUGAUGGAGCAACGCCGCGUGAGUGAAGAAGGGUUUCGGCUCGUAAAACUCUGUUGUUAAAGAAGAACAUAUCUGAGAGUAACUGUUCAGGUAUUGACGGUAUUUAACCAGAAAGCCACGGCUAACUACGUGCCAGCAGCCGCGGUAAUACGUAGGUGGCAAGCGUUGUCCGGAUUUAUUGGGCGUAAAGCGAGCGCAGGCGGUUUUUUAAGUCUGAUGUGAAAGCCUUCGGCUCAACCGAAGAAGUGCAUCGGAAACUGGGAAACUUGAGUGCAGAAGAGGACAGUGGAACUCCAUGUGUAGCGGUGAAAUGCGUAGAUAUAUGGAAGAACACCAGUGGCGAAGGCGGCUGUCUGGUCUGUAACUGACGCUGAGGCUCGAAAGUAUGGGUAGCAAACAGGAUUAGAUACCCUGGUAGUCCAUACCGUAAACGAUGAAUGCUAAGUGUUGGAGGGUUUCCGCCCUUCAGUGCUGCAGCUAACGCAUUAAGCAUUCCGCCUGGGGAGUACGACCGCAAGGUUGAAACUCAAAGGAAUUGACGGGGGCCCGCACAAGCGGUGGAGCAUGUGGUUUAAUUCGAAGCUACGCGAAGAACCUUACCAGGUCUUGACAUACUAUGCAAAUCUA